AACGGCUAUACCAUGCUGAAUAUACCGGUUUCUCGUUAGAUCACCGAAGUCAAGCAUCAUUGGGCGCGGUCAAUACGUGGGUGGUGACCACCUGAGAUCACAGCGUGCCGUU